rnacentral:rRNA from 1 species
AUUGAACGCUGGCGGCAUGCCUUACACAUGCAAGUCGAACGGCAGCACGGAGCUUGCUCUGGUGGCGAGUGGCGAACGGGUGAGUAAUAUAUCGGAACGUACCCAAGAGUGGGGGAUAACGUAGCGAAAGUUACGCUAAUACCGCAUACGAUCUAAGGAUGAAAGCAGGGGACCUUCGGGCCUUGUGCUCCUGGAGCGGCCGAUAUCUGAUUAGCUAGUUGGUGAGGUAAAGGCUCACCAAGGCAUCGAUCAGUAGCUGGUCUGAGAGGAUGAUCUGCCACACUGGGACUGAGACACGGCCCAGACUCCUACGGGAGGCAGCAGUGGGGAAUUUUGGACAAUGGGGGCAACCCUGAUCCAGCCAUGCCGCGUGAGUGAAGAAGGCCUC